GAGGGUAUAGCUCAGUGGUAGAGCACGUGCUUAGCAUGCACAAUGCAUGAGGUCCUGGGUUCCAUCCCUCGUCCCUCCA
rnacentral:tRNA from 1 species